AGCAAAAGGAUAAAUUAGUUGUAAACACAUAUGAUCGAACAUAUUAUUUGACUCUUUUAGAUUCAAUUUAUCCGAAUAAGUACAAUAGAAUUAAACUCAUGAAGUCGUGCAUUUGUGGUGGUGUACCAUGUCUGUCCAUCCAAUCUACCAUAUACAAGGUUAGUUCCUUACAUAAUCAUGGUGGUUCUUAUGAGGAGAAUUUUUGUCACUCCCAUCACUUAAUCACCCUUUUCUGCAUAAGUAUGGAUGAUUAGUAGGAUUCCAAAUAACUUCAUAUAUGAUUGAACAGUUUUUAACUCAAUGCACACUCUAGAAAAUCAC
rnacentral:lncRNA from 1 species